GACGAACGCUGGCGGCGUGCUUAACACAUGCAAGUCGAACGGAAAGGCCCUGCUUUUGUGGGGUGCUCGAGUGGCGAACGGGUGAGUAACACGUGAGUAACCUGCCCUUGACUUUGGGAUAACUUCAGGAAACUGGGGCUAAUACCGGAUAGGAGCUCCUGCUGCAUGGUGGGGGUUGGAAAGUUUCGGCGGUUGGGGAUGGACUCGCGGCUUAUCAGCUUGUUGGUGGGGUAGUGGCUUACCAAGGCUUUGACGGGUAGCCGGCCUGAGAGGGUGACCGGCCGCAUGGGGGUAGGGUGACGGCCCGGACUCCUGCGGGGGGCAGAAGGGGGGAUUGUUGCCCAAGGGCGGGGUGCCUGAGGCAGCAACCCCGGGGGGGGGAUGGCGGCCUUCGGGUGGGAAACAGCUUUCGCCUGGUACGAAGCGGGAGUGACGGUAAUGGGUAAAGAAGCACCGCCUAACUACGU
rnacentral:rRNA from 1 species